rnacentral:lncRNA from 1 species
UCUUUUCUUUCUGCUCCUCUUUUUUUCUGUGUUUCUUUUCUUUCUGUAUCCCUUUCUUUCUGUGUCUUAUUUCUGUAUCUUAUUUACAUUUCUUUUCUUUUUCUUUCUAUAUCCCUUUCUUUCUCUUUUCUUUCUGUAGCUCUUUCUUUUUGUGUCUUAUUUCUGUGUCUUAUUUACAUUUUUUUAUUUCUGUAUCUUUUUCUUUCCAUGUCUUAUUUAUAUUUUUUUAUUUUAUUUUUAUAUCUUAUUUAUGUGUCUUAUUUCUAUAUCUUAUUUAUAUUUUUUUAUUUUAUUUCUGUAUCUUAUUUAUAUUUUUUUAUUUUAAGUUAAUAUCUAUUAAUUUUAAAAUAUAAAUAUAAAUAAGCAAAUAUCUUUUAUUUGGAAUCAAUAAAAAUAUUAAAAAAAUUAAAAUC